rnacentral:lncRNA from 1 species
UAUAAAAUAUAGCUGUUUACUAUUGCUGCGUCUAAAAGUUAGAGAAUUUGUUGCUUGAGGUAAUGUUAACAGUUGUUCAUCCUCGUCGUCUUCAUCAGAAAAAA